rnacentral:rRNA from 1 species
CGCCUCUUGAUAUUUAUAAGAGGUACAGCCUGCCCAGUGACUCUGUUUAACGGCCGCGGUAUCCUAACCGUGCGAAGGUAGCGUAAUCACUUGUUCUUUAAAUGAGGACUAGUAUGAAUGGCAUCACGAGGGUUAUACUGUCUCCUCUCCCCAAUCAGUGAAACUAAUCUCCCCGUGAAGAAGCGGGGAUGAACCUAUAAGACGAGAAGACCCUAUGGAGCUUUAAACUAAAUUACACUUGCCUUACUAAUAAAAAUCUCAGGAUAAUAACUUAAAAUCAAGCAUUAUGGUAAUAAGUUUUAGGUUGGGGUGACCGCGGAGUAAAAUAUACCCUCCGCAUUGAAUAAGAUUGUUUCUUUAGCUAAAAGCUACAACUUAAAGCAUCAAUAAAUUGACAUUAUUGACCCAAUAUUUUGAUCAACGAACCAAGUUACCCUAGGGAUAACAGCGCAAUCCACUUCAAGAGCUCAUAUCGACAAGUGGGUUUACGACCUCGAUGUUGGAUCAGGGUAUCCCAGUGGUGCAGCCGCUACUAAAGGUUUGUUUGUUCAACAAUUAAUAACCCU